CUGUGCUAAGGUAGCGAAGUCAUUAGUUUUUUUAUUGAAAACUUGUAUGAGUGGGGGAAUGAGAAUUGUUUUUUGAAUUUUUAAUUUUGAAAAUUUUAUUUAUUAAUGAAAAAUUUAAUGUUUCUUUAAAGACGAGAAGACCCUGGAAUCUUUAUUUUUUAUAUGAUCGCAUAAAAUUUUUUUUUGGGGGAAAGUUUAAUUUAUAUUUUUAGAUUUAUUAUUUCGAACUUUUUUAGGUUGGUAGGAUAGAUACUCUAGGGAUAACAGGAUAAUUUAGUUUUGAAGUUCUUAUUUUAAAUUGAGUUUGUUACCUCGCUGUUGGC
rnacentral:rRNA from 1 species